CGCGUAGGCGGUGAGAUGUGUGUGAUGUGAAAGCCCCGGGCUUAACCUGGGAAGUGCAUCGCAAACUAUCUGACUGGAGUAUAUGAGAGGGUGGCGGAAUUUCCGGUGUAGCGGUGAAAUGCGUAGAGAUCGGAAGGAACGUCGAUGGCGAAGGCAGCCACCUGGCAUAAUACUGACGCUGAGGCGCGAAAGCGUGGGGAGCGAACA
rnacentral:rRNA from 1 species